GCCUCCGUAGCUCAGUGGCUAGAGCGUCGCUCUUGUAAAGCGAAAGUCGUCGGUUCAAUCCCGACCGGGGGCUCCA
rnacentral:tRNA from 1 species